GACGAACGCUGGCGGCGUGCCUAAUACAUGCAAGUCGAACGCAGUGGGGACGGGUGAGUAACAAGUGGGUAACCUCCCAUCAGAGGGGAUAAAACUUGGAAACAGGUGCUAAAACCGAUACUGAUGGAUGGAGCCGCGGUGCAUGAGCUAGUUGGGGAGGUCACGGCUCACCAAGGCCACGAUGCUUAGCCGGCCUGAUAGGGUGAUCGGCCACACUGGGACGGGAAGCCGGCCCAGACUCCUACGGGAGGCAGGAGUGGGGAAUCUUGGGCAAUGGGCGAAAGUCUGACCGAGCAACGCCGCGUGAGUGAAGAAGGUUUUCGGGUCGUAAAGUUCUGUUGUUAGAGAAGCGGUAUCUAACCAGGAAGCCACGGAUAACUACGUGCCAGCCGCCGCGGUAAUUC
rnacentral:rRNA from 1 species